rnacentral:rRNA from 1 species
GACGAACGCUGGCGGCGUGCUUAACACAUGCAAGUCGAACGGAAAGGCCCUGCUUUUGUGGGGUGCUCGAGUGGCGAACGGGUGAGUAACACGUGAGUAACCUGCCCUUGACUUUGGGAUAACUUCAGGAAACUGGGGCUAAUACCGGAUAGGAGCUCCUGCUGCAUGGUGGGGGUUGGAAAGUUUCGGCGGUUGGGGAUGGACUCGCGGCUAUCAGCUUGUUGGUGGGGUAGUGGCUUACCAAGGCUUUGACGGGUAGCCGGCCUGAGAGGGUGACCGGCCACAUUGGGACUGAGAUACGGCUCAGACUCCUACGGGAGGCAGCAGUGGGGAAUAUUGCACAAUGGGCGGAAGCCUGAUGCAGCAACGCCGCGUGCGGGAUGACGGCCUUCGGGUUGUAAACCGCUUUCGCCUGUGACGAAGCGUGAGUGACGGUAAUGGGUAAAGAAGCACCGGCUAACUACGUG